rnacentral:rRNA from 1 species
CCUACGAGAGGCUGCAGUGAGGAAUAUUGGUCAAUGGGCGUAAGCCUGAACCAGCCAAGUCGCGUGAGGGAUGAAGGUUCUAUGGGUUGUAAACUUCUUUUAUAUGGGAAUAAAAUGUUCCACGUGUGGGAUUUUGUAUGUACCAUAUGAAUAAGGAUCGGCUAACUCCGUGCCAGCAGCCGCGGUAAUACGGAGGAGCCGAGCGUUAUCCGGAUUUAUUGGGGUUAAAGGGAGCGUAGGUGGAUUGUUAAGUCAGUUGUGAAAGUUUGCGGCUCAACCGUAAAAUUGCAGUUGAAACUGGCCGUCUUGAGUACAGUAGAGGUGGGCGGAAUUCGUGGUGUAGCGGUGAAAUGCUUAGUUAUCACGAAGAACUCCGAUUGCGAAGGCAGCUCACUGGACUGCAACUGACACUGAGGCUCGAAAGUGUGGGUAUCAAACAGGAUUAGAUACCCCAGUAGUC